rnacentral:rRNA from 1 species
CUACGGGUCGCUGCAGUGAGGAAUAUUGGUCAAUGGUCGAGAGACUGAACCAGCCAAAUCGCGUGAAGGAUGAAGGUAUUAUGUAUUGUAAACUUCUUUUACAGGGGAAUAAAGUGCGCCACGUGUGGUGUUUUGUAUGUACCCUGAGAAUAAGCAUCGGCUAACUCCGUGCCAGCAGCCGCGGUAAUACGGAGGAUGCGAGCGUUAUCCGGAUUUAUUGGGUUUAGAGGGUGCGUAGGCGGGAUAUUAAGUCAGCGGUGAAAGUUUUCGGCUCAACCGGAAAAUUGCCGUUGAAACUGAUAUUCUUGAGUGCAGAAAAGGUAGGCGGAAUUCGUUGUGUAGCGGUGAAAUGCGUAGAUAUAACGAAGAACACCAAUUGCGUAGGCAGCUUACCAUACUGCAACUGACGCUGAGGCACGAAAGUGUGGGUAUCAAACAGGAUUAGAUACCCCGGUAGUC